UUCCCUCGGUCUGGGCUUCUCUGAGGCGGCGAGAGAUGGUCAGGUCUGGAGCUCGACCGGGCCAGACUUUUUAAAACUGUGGACUUAAAUGUUCUGCAAAGUCUUACACAAAAGCCCAAUACAGUACAUGAACUACGGAAAAGCAGAACUGCUCUGAACAAGGAAGAGGUGGGAGAUCUGAGUCCUGGCCCCAGCACCCACUUCAACUUCAGUCACCUCCUUGGAAUCUGGGGUUCUGCAGCUUGAAAUAAUCAGUUUGGAUUUUAAACUUAUUUGUAACAUAAUAAUAAUCCUAGGAACUUUAAAAUAAUAUUUUGUACUAAAUUUUAGAAUUAUUAUAAUAAGUGAUCUAAUAAAACAGUCUUUUCCUGAAA
rnacentral:lncRNA from 1 species